UGGGGAAUAUUGCACAAUGGGCGAAAGCCUGAUCCAGCCAUGCCGCGUGUGUGAAGAAGGUCUUCGGAUUGUAAAGCACUUUAAGUUGGGAGGAAGGGCAUUAACCUAAUACGUUAGUGUUUUGACGUUACCGACAGAAUAAGCACCGGCUAACUCUGUGCCAGCAGCCGCGGUAAUACAGAGGGUGCAAGCGUUAAUCGGAAUUACUGGGCGUAAAGCGCGCGUAGGUGGUUUGUUAAGUUGGAUGUGAAAGCCCCGGGCUCAACCUGGGAACUGCAUCCAAAACUGGCAAGCUAGAGUACGGUAGAGGGUGGUGGAAUUUCCUGUGUAGCGGUGAAAUGCGUAGAUAUAGGAAGGAACACCAGUGGCGAAGGCGACCACCUGGACUGAUACUGACACUGAGGUGCGAAAGCGUGGGGAGCAAACA
rnacentral:rRNA from 1 species